CAACUCAGUUGAAACUAGAUUAGCUCAGUAAUUAUGUGAGCACUUCUCAAAGAGUUUUAGAUCUAAAAAAUCUUGCAUAAUACUAAAAUAAAAUCAAUCAUAAAUAUCUUUUAAAUCAUAUCUAAAACUUUUUAUGAUUUGAGAUUUUUUUUAUAAUUAAAAUAAUUUUAAUCACAUAGAUUAGAUGUUUUAUAUUUCAUACAACUUUGUAUCACAUACAACAAACCUAAGGUUUCAAGAUCUAAGAUUUUACAGAAAAAUAAGUUUUUUCUUUCACAUUCUUCUUCAUGAGAUCUAAUCAUAUAGCACCCC
rnacentral:lncRNA from 1 species